AUGAAGCUGAUCCCUUCGGGUGCAACGGAGCGUCGGUGGUCAAGUAUGUCGCAGCAUGGCCCAACAAAGGCGCUCUCCGGGAGAUGGUGGCUAGACAUUUUGAGAGGAAAAAGUGGGAGACAAGUUAUGAGGAGGGGAGGAAAGCGCACUGUGUUUGGUAUAUUAUUUGUGCUGAGUUUUAUUCUCUCUUUUGGAAAAAGAGCACAUGGGAAUUGGAUAAAAGAACAUGCCAAUUAUAUGUUUGAGCAGCACGGGAAAGAGGUAGCAUUAAUAUAUGAACACCCCCUCACCAUAGGAGAUUUUUCAUUUCUUCCCGAUUUAAUUGAUGAACCACAGAUUGUGUUGGAGGGAUUGUCCAAGGCUCAGGAGGGUCCACCUACCGUGUUUUCUAGCAUACCGCAAAAAAUAAAUCAAACUCGGUUUCGACGGUUUAGAUACCAUACCUCCACCAGGGGUUUGUGCUUCUGUUGUGGAGGAUCGGGAAUAUGGAAUUCUGAGUGGAGACACUGGGGAACUAGGCAGGCGUUCUUUUCCCGAUUAGGCAAUUACUCCCAUUGUCGAGACCGGUUCUAUCUACAUGGACGAUUUAAUACAUCUUAUGUCUCACGAUUAAAUCUAACCGCAACCGAGUGGGCUAGCAUGUAUCCAGAUUAUCCUACAUUUAGUGUGAAUGAUUCUAUUGAGGGCCUAAAAUUUUAUAUGAACAUACUGCAACAAUUAACCCAACUGAGCCUAGGUAAAAGCCUCUGUCCGUUAUGGCAAAUUAGGGAUCCAAAUCUAUGGUUUUACUUUGAUAAAUGGGCCACAAAUUAUCACCCCGGCAACUACCAGUGUGUCGGUGUGGGUUAUUUGACAUUCCCAGUUCAGGUCUUGCACAAAAGGCAUCAGUGCCUGAAACGGGACAUUGUGCAAACAGGCCCUCUAGGACCAGAAUGCUCGGAUGAGGUCAUUAUUAACAAGGCCCUGUCAGGUUCAGAAGCCUCCCGUGUAGGAGGAGGCCUGAUCACAGGCUUGUUGACCCUGGGUGCCUACCCAGGGAUUGUAGCUCAAGCAAAUCGUAGAAGUGUUCUAGGCCUGACUUGCCGCCUUGAAAAGUCCAUAAAUGCCACUGGUAAAAUUUUCCGGGAAAUCCAGUCUGAAGUAGAAGAAAUCAGCCAGAUGGCCCUACAGCAUAAGUUGGCCCUUGACUACCUACUGGCGGCCAGGGGGGGGGUUAUGCGCCAUGGUUAG
rnacentral:lncRNA from 1 species